AUUCAGCUGAUCAGUUCCAAAGAGAACAAAACGCGCGUCCUGGAU
rnacentral:hammerhead_ribozyme from 1 species